rnacentral:rRNA from 1 species
ACAGGUUAAGCUGACGAGUGGCGAACGGGUGAGUAAUAUAUCGGAACGUGCCCAGUCGUGGGGGAUAACUGCUCGAAAGAGCAGCUAAUACCGCAUACGACCUGAGGGUGAAAGCGGGGGAUCGCAAGACCUCGCGCGAUUGGAGCGGCCGAUAUCAGAUUAGGUAGUUGGUGGGGUAAAAGCCUACCAAGCCAACGAUCUGUAGCUGGUCUGAGAGGACGACCAGCCACACUGGGACUGAGACACGGCCCAGACUCCUACGGGAGGCAGCAGUGGGGAAUUUUGGACAAUGGACGCAAGUCUGAUCCAGCCAUGCCGCGUGCGGGAAGAAGGCCUUCGGGUUGUAAACCGCUUUUGUCAGGGAAGAAAAGGUUCUGGAUAAUACCUGGGACUCAUGACGGUACCUGAAGAAUAAGCACCGGCUAACUACGUGCCAGCAGCCGCGGUAAU